AUGACUUCUGUCCCCUGCAGAUUCACAUGUUGAAACCGUAACUCCCAAAGUGAUUGGAUUUGGAUAGGCCCUUUAGGAGGCAAUAAAGGUUAAAUGAGGUCAUAAAGGUGGGGCCCUAACCCAAUAAGGUUGGAGCCCUUAUAAGAAGAGGAAGAGACAUAAGGUCCCUCUCUCUGCAAGCAUAUAGACUAAGUAGGAGAGGUUACAGGAGCACACAGUGAAAAGGCAGCUCCCUGCAAGCCAGGAAAAGAGCCCUCGCCAGAAAUCAAAUUGACUGGCACCUUAAUCUUGAACUUCCAGUCUCCAGAGCUGCCUUUGCUGCUGGACCCAGAUCAGAUGGUAACUUGAGAGCUGGACCUGCAUCAUGGCGAAUCUACUGAGAAGUGAUUGUUAUUGUCCAAACCCACUAUGCUCUUCCUCCUGACUGCUUUGUGCAUGCCGCAUCUCCUGCUGGAUGUUCUCUGCCCACUGCUUGCACCCCUUAUGCCAAUUCCGGACCCGCAGCUUCUUGGAUCACACCUCUCAUUCAAACCACCUAGUCCUUCUGCAGAGUAGGUUGGCCCUGCUCCAAUUUCCUCUCUCACCCUGCAGCUCUGAACUGACUGGCUGGCUUGUGGGCAGAAUGGGUUGAAGCCCUGCGUGAGGUACAGAUGAUGAAUGCUUGGAAAGGAGGGAGUCAAAGGCAAAUUGUGCUCCACAUUUCAAAAUGUCUUCUUUCUCUGCACAUCUUGUUUUCCUUUUACCCUGCCCUGACAUGUCACUGCAAAGCCAGUAAUGAGAAACCUGGAUUCAUUUUGUACCAGAAGACUGCACACUGUAGCUCUAAAUUGUGCUUUAAAAUUUUAAAAGCAGGCUAAAUCGAAAAACACAUAGGGAGCAUUUUGAAGAUGCCCUGCAGCUGGAUUUGUUUUAUGCUAGAGCAAUUUUGCUGCCUGACUGCUUCCUGCUGAAAGCACAGAGGAUGUGCUGAAAUGUUGCCACUGUAAACAAAACUAGAUCAGGCAGAAGCCUCUCCCGCACCCACAGACCUACCUUGUAAAUUGCUGGCAGCAGUGUUACUUGACAGGCACAGUGCUAGGAAGCAAGUGGCUUCAGAAAUAAGAAUUGAAAGGGAGGGAUUCCUCACAACAAGCGUGUGAAAUGCUAGUACUGGAAAGGGCUCUAGAAAUCAUCUAGUCCAGCUCUCAUAAUUUAUAAUUGAGGAAACUGAGGCCAGGAAGGUUAAGUUAGUUAUCCUAGGUCACAUGACUUAUGAGUGGCAGCCUGAAUUAAAACUGGCAUUUCUUAGCUCCUAGUCUAAUCUUUAUUCUGUUACAUCAUAUUCAAGUUCAUGAAUUCACCUAAUGUUUUGUUUUUGCCUUUGUGCAUUGCAGAGAUAACAUGUAAUUCCCAUAACCAAAGUAACUACAGUAUCUGACUGCAUAUUGGCUUUCGCUAUUGGUUCAGUCACUGAGAGGAACAGUUAACAAAUCCACUAAUUAGCCUGUUGUGUUCACUACUCUCCUCAAGGCUAAUUACUUGUUUAAUUAAGGCGUUCUGCCUUGACCAUAAAUGCUAUCACAUAAAAUAUUUGAUGAAUCUUGACUGUGCUGUGACGAUCCAACAUAUAUGUAUGAAGUGCUUUCAUUAGAACUUAAGAAAACUAAACAACUAAU